CUACUAUUCAUUAAAUUAAAUUUUUUUUUGCUUAAGUAGUAUUAUAUAUUAUUAUAAAUAUUUAUUAAUAUUGAAACUUAAAAAGCUUGGCGGUACUAUAUAUCCAUUUAGGGGAACUUGUUUAUUAAUUUGAUAAUCCUCAAUUUACACUUACUUUUUCUUGAAAUAAUUCAGUUUGUGUAUUGCUGUCGUCAGUUUAUUUUGUAAAAUUAUAAAGAACAUGAUAGUAAAAUUUACUUGUAAGUCAAGUCAAAAUACAGCUAAUGUGAAAGGUUUAAAAAUGAGCUACAAUUUAUAAUAUUUAAUUGGAUUAAAUUAUGUAAAAAUUUAUGAAUUUGGACUUAAUAGUAAUGUGUUAUUAGUGUGUUUACAUGAAUUAGGUUUUAUAGUACGU
rnacentral:rRNA from 1 species